GCAUUUUCGCUCGGUUUCUUAUCCUGUAUCAGCACUGAACAGUCCUAGUAUCCAAGGAUUUCAAACCAACAAACAAUUACGUUAGACUUAAACCCGGUUCUGCUCUAAUUCCCCCUCUCAUCAUCCUCCCACCAAAAGUUUUUUUCUCUAUCUUCAUACUCUGUCCGAAAAUUUUCCGCGCCAUUAAAUGGCUUCUACUAACUUACUUCAAUCUUCAUCUAUAUCCUGCACACUCCUCCCUCACCUCUCACGACACAUUUCUCACUCCACCAACUUACGCCUCUACCACUCUUCUUCGUCUUCCAAUAAUCAAUCCCUCUCAUUUAAAACCCUAAAAGGAACUCCAUUAUUGGAUGUUUCAGCGCACGCCAAACGUAGGUUUACAUCUAAAGAAGUCGAAGUAGCUUCACCCUCUGAUCUCUUAUUUGAGUCACCACUCAAAAUUGUUGAAUACCCAGAUCCAAUUUUAAGAGCAGCGAAUAGGAAAAUCGAUACGUUUGAUGAUAAUUUAAAGAAAUUAGCAGAUGAGAUGUUUGAUAUUAUGUACAAAACUGAUGGUAUUGGGCUUUCGGCGCCUCAAGUUGGAAUUAAUGUUCAACUUAUGGUUUUUAAUCCGGAAGGGGAACGUGGUAUUGGCGAUGAAAUUGUUCUUGUAAAUCCAAGAAUUAGUAAAGUUUCACAGAAAAAGGUUCAUUUUGAAGAAGGUUGCUUAUCCUUUCCCGGAAUUUACGCAGAUGUUGAGAGACCAGAGUCUGUUAAGAUCGAUGCGCGGGAUAUUAGUGGUGAAAGAUUCACAAUUAGCUUAUCAAAACUCCCUGCACGGAUUUUCCAGCAUGAAUUUGAUCACUUAGAGGGAACUCUCUUUUUUGAUAGAAUGACCGAAGAUGUAAUUGAUAGUAUCCGUGCACAGCUACAGGCCUUAGAAAAGAAGUAUGAAGACAAGACUGGGGUUCCAAGCCCCGAGAAGGUUGACAAUCGUAGAAGACUAAGGGUGGUUGCUGGUUUUGGACAAUCAUGAAUCUGGAAACAGGAUUACGUGAUAUAAUUUGAUAUAGGACCCAAUUUGCACGUGUGGGGCUUCAUCAUGAAGAAGAAGCAAUAUCUCACGCAGUGGCAGGAGAUGCAAUGUAUUGGGAGCCGUAGAUGGAGGCUUGCCAAUCUGCAAACAGUCGAUUGGAGGGAGAGAGGGAGUGUUCAGCUCUCCAAAGGUCUGCCAACAGAAAGGGUUGAACAUCCGGUAGCGUUCUUGCUGAGGCUCAAGUUUGAUGUUGGUUAGUGUUACACCUUCACAUGGUGGAUUCCAUCGGUGUUGAGGCUGUUACCAGGAGAUGUGACAUUCAUAUUGAAGACCUCAACUCCAACACAGUUAUCAAACUUGAGGUGGCACUGCGGGCUGUUCUGAAUUGUUAUACCAGUAACUGUUGCAUUAAAGUUUCCGUAGAAUCUCAGUGCCUGCAUAGGAAAACCCAGUUCCCAAGUUCUGCUGAUGCAUAAUGUUUGUAAUUCGCAUUCUGCAUAGAAGCCAAAACGGCACACGUGAAGGACUCAAGAGCUUUGUCAAAGCCAAAGGCACUGAUUAUAACCACUCCUCUCAUGGUCACAUGCAAAGGUCACGGGUUAUUGUUCUACAUUUUUGUCUUGAUGAUUGUUAGCAAGCAACACAGAAGAGACGCUGCACCCCUUCAACACCAUAGAAAUGAGAAGGAAAAAAAACAGGUGGAUAUAUAACCAUAAUUUGAUAUAUACUCUCGUAAUUUUAUUGUUUCAUCUGUGUAGCAUUUCGUCUUUUUGUUUCUCAUUAACUACUAACAAACGCCAUUCACAGUUAGAUUCUUUUAAUCAUUUAAUGUCUCUACCAUUGAAGAUUA